rnacentral:rRNA from 1 species
UACGUAGGGUGCGAGCGUUGUCCGGAAUUAUUGGGCGUAAAGGGCUCGUAGGCGGUUUGUCGCGUCGGGAGUGAAAACCUCGGGCUUAACUCGGGGCUUGCUUUCGAUACGGGCAGACUAGAGUAUGUAGGGGAGACUGGAAUUCCUGGUGUAGCGGUGAAAUGCGCAGAUAUCAGGAGGAACACCGAUGGCGAAGGCAGGUCUCUGGGCAUUAACUGACGCUGAGGAGCGAAAGCAUGGGGAGCGAACAGG